rnacentral:rRNA from 1 species
UUUUAUGGAGAGUUUGAUCCUGGCUCAGGAUGAACGCUGGCGGCGUGCCUAAUACAUGCAAGUCGAGCGAACGGAUGAGAAGCUUGCUUCUCUGAUGUUAGCGGCGGACGGGUGAGUAACACGUGGAUAACCUACCUAUAAGACUGGGAUAACUUCGGGAAACCGGAGCUAAUACCGGAUAAUAUUUUGAACCGCAUGGUUCAAAAGUGAAAGACGGUCUUGCUGUCACUUAUAGAUGGAUCCGCGCUGCAUUAGCUAGUUGGUAAGGUAACGGCUUACCAAGGCAACGAUGCAUAGCCGACCUGAGAGGGUGAUCGGCCACACUGGAACUGAGACACGGUCCAGACUCCUACGGGAGGCAGCAGUAGGGAAUCUUCCGCAAUGGGCGAAAGCCUGACGGAGCAACGCCGCGUGAGUGAUGAAGGUCUUCGGAUCGUAAAACUCUGUUAUUAGGGAAGAACAUAUGUGUAAGUAACUGUGCACAUCUUGAC